UUGCACGCUGGCGGCAGGCCUCACACAUGCAAGUCGCACGGUAACAGGAAGCAGCUUGCUGCUUUGCUGACGAGUGGCGGACGGGUGAGUAAUGUCUGGGAAACUGCCUGAUGGAGGGGGAUAACUACUGGAAACGGUAGCUAAUACCGCAUAACGUCGCAAGACCAAAGAGGGGGACCUUCGGGCCUCUUGCCAUCGGAUGUGCCCAGAUGGGAUUAGCUAGUAGGUGGGGUAACGGCUCACCUAGGCGACGAUCCCUAGCUGGUCUGAGAGGAUGACCAGCCACACUGGAACUGAGACACGGUCCAGACUCCUACGGGAGGCAGCAGUGGGGAAUAUUGCACAAUGGGCGCAAGCCUGAUGCAGCCAUGCCGCGUGUAUGAAGAAGGCCUUCGGGUUGUAAAGUACUUUCAGCGGGGAGGAAGGGAGUAAAGUUAAUACCUUUGCUCAUUGACGUUACCCGCAGAAGAAGCACCGGCUAACUCCGUG
rnacentral:rRNA from 1 species